rnacentral:lncRNA from 1 species
AGACGAUCGCCUUGAGGGCGUUAAGUCCGGGUCUUCCAAGUAUGGCGUUGUAGGCCGAAGGCACUUGGACGACCGCAAAAGUCAAAUGAACCGUGCUUUGUCGUGGUUCGGUGCCGACCGUCACGGGCAGGGUAACUUCACCUUCCGUUGAGACGGCGUCCCCGGCAAAGCCUAUCAAGGGCGUAGAGACCCUCUUGAGUCGAUCGGUAGACAGUCGCAUCCGGG